AGAAGGCUGUUUUGUUAACCCAGGUGGGUUCUUCUGUUUUCUUCUGUUAUGGGUACCCAUAAUAAGACUCAAGAAUAAAGCCUGGAAGAUUACCACAGCUGGUGAGGACUUUCUAGCUUGCUACUGUCUCUUUCCAUCAUCUUACAGCACUAGAACUUCUGUGGCUGGCCAGCCAGCAAUACCAAACAGGAAAAGAAAAAUAUUUCUUUGAACUUUCAGCACACUGCUAAUCAGAAUGUACUAUGCAAGAUGCACCCAGUAGUGUUCAAGCUAAGCUGCACUUUAAUCAGAAGUUGAUGCUGUUUUCCCCUUUGAAGAGCUUCUUUUCCUCUGGAGGAGCUCAACACAAGUGCAAAACUUCAGAAGGACUUUUACUGAAUGGCUGGAAAUGAGACAUGCCUGACAACAGACGGCUUCUAAACUGAAAGCCAGGGAACUGGCC